rnacentral:lncRNA from 1 species
UCUACCUUUGGCAAAGUCUUCACCAAUGUGCUCUCAGCAGCGUCCCAAAAUUCCCUGCCAUGCAGGUGAAGACCAGAGCAGAUACUGUGUAAUUCUUUUAGCAGGACAGUGUAACUAUUUUGUACGUUGGCAAACUCAAAUAGACAAAUUCCAAACUAAAUGACCUUAAUUUUAAUGGCUAAUGUUGUGUUUUUUAGAGUGUACCUGAUCUGUGGUGGUUCCUCACCCUCCUGUGGGUUCCUCACCACUGAAGACCAAGGUUUCGUAUGCAGAGAAACAGAAGGACUACACUGUACUACAGACUUUACAGGUUGACUGGCUGUAAUCAGUGGAUAUAAGUGGCCCAUACUUGCCGCAGGACUAAAGAAGCAGACUUUGUCUUGGACAAUCCACUACGUAUAAAGGUACCAGGUUCUUGCCAAUAUACCGGGUAGGGCCUCACAAUCAGACCUCACUCCAACUGAGAUUAUUCACUUUACCUUGCCAUGAGCACGUUGGCCAGGUUUUAGCUUAACUUA